rnacentral:piRNA from 1 species
UUCAUUUCAAAGAAUGACAGUUUGCAUCUC